rnacentral:rRNA from 1 species
AUACGUAGGGGGCGAGCGUUGUCCGGAAUGAUUGGGCGUAAAGGGCGCGUAGGCGGCGCGGUAAGUCUGGAGUGAAAGUCCUGCUUUCAAGGUGGGAAUUGCUUUGGAUACUGCCGCGCUUGAGUGCGGAAGAGGUAAGUGGAAUUCCCAGUGUAGCGGUGAAAUGCGUAGAGAUUGGGAGGAACACCAGUGGCGAAGGCGACUUACUGGGCCGUAACUGACGCUGGGCGCGAAAGCGUGGGGAGCGAACAGGAUUAGAUACCCUGGUAGUCCACGCGGUAAACGAUGAAUGCUAGGUGUUGCGGGUAUCGACCCCUGCAGUGCCGGAGUAAACACAAUAAGCAUUCCGCCUGGGGAGUACGGCCGCAAGGCUUAAACUCAAAGGAAUUGACGGGG